rnacentral:rRNA from 1 species
CACAUGCAAGUCGAGGGGCAGCAUGAUUGAAGCUUGCUUCAAUUGAUGGCGACCGGCGCACGGGUGAGUAACGCGUAUCCAACCUUCCGUACACUCAGGGAUAGCCUUUCGAAAGAAAGAUUAAUACCUGAUGGUAUGAUGAGAUUGCAUGAUAGCAUCAUUAAAGAUUUAUCGGUGUACGAUGGGGAUGCGUUCCAUUAGGUAGUAGGCGGGGUAACGGCCCACCUAGCCUACGAUGGAUAGGGGUUCUGAGAGGAAGGUCCCCCACAUUGGAACUGAGACACGGUCCAAACUCCUACGGGAGGCAGCAGUGAGGAAUAUUGGUCAAUGGACGAGAGUCUGAACCAGCCAAGUAGCGUGAAGGAUGAAGGUCUUACGGAUUGUAAACUUCUUUUAUAAGGGAAUAAAACCUCCCACGUGUGGGAGCUUGUAUGUACCUUAUGAAUAAGCAUCGGCUAACUCCGUGCCAGCAGCCGCGGUAAUACGGAGGAUGCGAGCGUUAUCCGGAUUUAUUGGGUUUAAAGGGAGCGCAGACGGGUCGUUAAGUCAGCUGUGAAAGUUUGGGGCUCAACCUUA